rnacentral:rRNA from 1 species
CUUGGUCAUUUAGAGGAAGUAAAAGUCGUAACAAGGUUUCCGUAGGUGAACCUGCGGAAGGAUCAUUAUCGAGUUUUGAACGGGUUGUAGCUGGCCUCUCACGAGGCAUGUGCACGCCUGGCUCAUCCACUCUUAACCUCUGUGCACUUUAUGUAAGAGAAAAAAAUGGUGGAAGCUUCCAGGAUCUCGCGAGAGGUCUUCGGUUGAACAAGCCGUUUUUCUUUCUUAUGUUUUACUACAAACGCUUCAGUUAUAGAAUGUCAACUGUGUAUAACACAUUUAUAUACAACUUUCAGCAACGGAUCUCUUGGCUCUCGCAUCGAUGAAGAACGCAGCGAAAUGCGAUAAGUAAUGUGAAUUGCAGAAUUCAGUGAAUCAUCGAAUCUUUGAACGCACCUUGCACUCCUUGGUAUUCCGAGGAGUAUGCCUGUUUGAGUCUCAUGGUAUUCUCAACCCCUAAAUUUUUGUAAUGAAGGUUUAGCGGGCUGGGACUUGGAGGUUGUGUCGGCCCUUGUCGGUCGACUCCUCUGAAAUGCAUUAGCGUGAAUCUUACGGAUCGCCUUCAGUGUGAUAAUUAUCUGCGCUGUGGUGUUGAAGUAUUUAUGGUGUUCAUGCUUCGAACCGUCUCCUUGCCGAGACAAUCAUUUGACAAUCUGAGCUCAAAUCAGGUAGGACUACCCGCUGAACUUAAGCAUAUCAAUAAGCGGAGGA